GAGUUUCUCCAUAACUCGCUGGU
rnacentral:siRNA from 1 species